rnacentral:lncRNA from 1 species
UUCAAUAUCCUAUUAUCCAAAUGCACAUAAGUAAAGAGUUCCCCCCUCCCUUACCUCGAAGUUGCUUGAUCGUUGAACUCUCCUGCCUUUGGAAUCUACCACUCUCUUAUUCAUAUGAUUGCUCUAGCCUUCUACCUCUUUUUUCCAAUUUAUCAAUUUCACGGUCUAAUAGAACUUCCCCUCAUAGGAUCUAUUUAUUUAACCUAAA